UCUCUGCUUGAUAAACAGUAGAGUUGCCCCAGGUAUAACACUGUUAGAUAAAGCAAUGCGCCCUCCAAGGCAGAGAUAUUUAUAGUUCUGCUAUUAAAACGUGCCUUACAGCUCAUUUCUCUAACGUAAUGUUGGCAAAAUUAGGCUGAAAUUACUGCGAAAACUGCUUCUCACCAGGUUCUUUUUUAUAGUUCUGUCCUUUGAUGAGGUCGGGAGUUGGCGGGGUCAGCUUUCCUCGGUCGCCGUGGUGAGUAUGCAGCAAUAUGCAAUAGAGACAUAAGAGCCAAUUCCAAAGUCACUUGGAAAAGUGUUUUUUCUGUUUCAAGAUUUGUGGGAACAGAGUGGAGGAAGACAUUCCAGGGUAUUUUCACAAACCGGCUCACCAAGUGCUGAAACCCAUGGCAGCGAUUGGCAGCACCUCCCUGCCUCCUGGCGCGCCGCCCAGCUAUUAAUGGGCGUCAUGAAAAAUAGGAACGAGUUCACCUUGAAAACAGUCACAUUAUCAAUGUUACAAAGGCUCUCUCUAUUUUAUUUUUAAAUUGCUUGCUGUAAAAAGCAGACCAAAACGUGCUUGAAAGCAUUAUUUGUAGAUUUUCUUGCUGCGUUUGGAUGGAAGCUAUAGAAUGGACCGUAAUCUAUUGCUACUUACGUUCUUUUCUGAAUGGAACAAGGAGGCUGCUGUGUGCUGUGAGAGGAAGAGCCAACUGCUGCAAAACAGAGUGAGAUGUGUCCCAGAAGGCGCCAGGAGAUUCCUACCAGGAGCUUCCCUGUUCCCUCCUGCCUGGUGCUGAGCAGGUCGUCCUUUUACAGCAUGAACCGUGUUAUCAGGAAGAUGCGAAAUAAACAUGACAAAGCGAUACACUCCUUUAAAGCUGCCUUAAUUUUACUGGGAACACUGUUGCUGUGCAUUUCAGCCAUGAGCAAGAGUUUAUGCUGAAGCUGUGAGUUUUCCCAAGAAAGCAGAGGAGAGACGCGUGUACAGGAUGCAAGCGCACAGUGAGUCCUGUCCUUGCUCUGCAAGAUGAGCCAUUUCCAUUUCUCCAGUUGGUUUUGUCUCUGCUGGCUAAUUGGGUCUACGUGGACGAGGUGGUGUCUUCAGCAGCUCCUACCACACUCUGGGGAAGGUUCCUGCAUCCCAGAGGCAGUGCUGCCUUUGGGGAGGGCUCGUGGUGUGCAGCUCCGCUGUCCCAGCUGGUGUGGAAAUAGUGGAGAACUGUGACCUAUUGUACCACCUAUAAAUGAAAAAAUGCGGAAACACUCGCUUUUGAAGACGUACAAAAGACAUAUUUGGAGAGAUUCCAGUUUCGAGUGCGCCGAGGAGCAAGGAGGAAGAAAUGCCCGUUUCUGAGCUGCGCUGAGAGCACGAACCGCUCGGCUCGGCCGCCUCCGUGCAACAAAAGCACUACAAAUAAUUAGAUUAGUGUUUCCCUGGCACAGGUGCUGAACCCGACACGGAGCAGUGCCACGGAGCGGGGCGGGCAGCCGGACAGCGCGGAGCAUCGCGAGCAGUUGGUAACAUUUGGCAGCUGAACAGAGAAAAAAAUGACUGCUAGGGAAAUCUCAACCGCCGCUAAUUAGCAGCAAUGAACUGUGGGUAAGGACAGUACAUUUUAAUGUGAGAAGAAUUUUACAAUAACCACCACACUGAAAGAAAUGGAACGAAAUGCUCCCUAGCUGACCCUUGUGGCAAUCUAAGCUGCAUAUUGCAAUAAUCCUGUAAAUUACUAUGCUUUUUUAUACAGUAACUUGGAGUUAAUUAGUAAUUUAACAUUC